rnacentral:rRNA from 1 species
GUACGGGAGGCAGCAGUUGGGAAUCUUGGACAAUGGGGGAAACCCUGAUCCAGCCAUGCCGCGUGAGUGAUGAAGGCCUUCGGGUUGUAAAGCUCUUUUACCCGGGAAGAUAAUGACUGUACCGGGAGAAUAAGCUCCGGCUAACUUCGUGCCAGCAGCCGCGGUAAUACGAAGGGGGCUAGCGUUGUUCGGAAUUACUGGGCGUAAAGCGCGCGCAGGCGGUUUUUCAAGUCAGUGGUGAAAGCCCGGAGCUCAACUCCGGAACUGCCAUUGAAACUGUGAAACUUGAGGACGAGAGAGGUGAGUGGAAUUCCCAGUGUAGAGGUGAAAUUCGUAGAUAUUGGGAAGAACACCGGUGGCGAAGGCGGCUCACUGGCUCGUUUCUGACGCUCAGGCGCGACAGCGUGGGGAUCAAACAGGAUUAGAUACCCCGGUAGU